CCAGAGGCCAUUGCUAUCAGGGUUUGACUAAGCCAUGCGAGUCGAGAGGUGUAAGACCUCGGCAUACUGCUCAGUAACACGUGGCUAACCUGCCCUAAGGUGGAGAAUACUCCCGGGAAACUGGGGCUAAUGCUCCAUAGUGGAUAUGUCCUGGAAUGGUAUAUCCUCGAAAGAUCCGUCGCCUUAGGAUGGGACUGCGUCCGAUUAGGUUGUUGGCGGGGUAACGGCCCACCAAGCCAUUGAUCGGUACGGGCUGUGGGAGCAAGAUCCCGGAGAUGGAUUCUGAGACAUGAAUCCAGGCCCUACGGGGCGCAGCAGGCGCGCAAACUUUACAAUGCGAGCAAUCGUGAUAAGGAAACCCUGAGUGCCUGUCGAUGCAGGCUGUUCAUAUAUCUAAAUCAUAUGUGAAGAAAGGGCAGGGCAAGACCGGUGCCAGCCGCCGCGGUAAUACCGGCUGCUCGAGUGAUGGCCACUAUUACUGGGUUUAAAGCGUCCGUAGCUUGACUGUUAGGUCUCUUGGGAAAUCUUCACGCUCAACGUGAAGGCGUCUAAGAGAUACCGGCAGUCUUGGAACUGGGAGAGGUAAACCGUACUUCGGGGGUAGGAGUGAAAUCUUGUAAUCCUCGAGGGACGACCUAUGGCGAAGGCAGUUUACCAGAACAGCUUCGACAGUGAGGGACGAAAGCUGGGGGAGCAAACGGGAUUAGAUACCCCGGUAGUCCCAGCCGUAAACAAUGUGCGUUAGGUGUGUCGGUAACCACGUGUUACUGAUGCGCCGAAGAGAAAUCGUGAAACGCACCACCUGGGAAGUACGGUCGCAAGGCUGAAACUUAAAGGAAUUGGC
rnacentral:rRNA from 1 species